GACGAACGCUGGCGGCGUGCUUAACACAUGCAAGUCGAACGGAAAGGCCCUGCUUUUGUGGGGUGCUCGAGUGGCGAACGGGUGAGUAACACGUGAGUAACCUGCCCUUGACUUUGGGAUAACUUCAGGAAACUGGGGCUAAUACCGGAUAGGAGCUCCUGCUGCAUGGAGGGGGUUGGAAAGUUUCGGCGGUUGGGGAUGGACUCGCGGCUUAUCAGCUUGUUGGUGGGGUAGUGGCUUACCAAGGCAUUGACGGGUAGCCGGCCUGGGAGGGUGACCGGCCACCUUGGGCCUGCGAUACGGCCCAGACUCCUACGGUAGGCAGCAGUGGGGAAUAUUGCACAAUGGGCGGAAGCCUGAUGCAGCAACGCCGCGUGCGGGAUGACGGCCUUCGGGUUGUAAACCGCUUUCGCCUGUGACGAAGCGUGAGUGACGGUAAUGGGUAAAGAAGCACCGGCUAACUACGUG
rnacentral:rRNA from 1 species